rnacentral:rRNA from 1 species
CUUUCAGCAGAAGAUCUCAUGGUUUUGGCAUCGAUGACGUCUCUACAAAACUGGAAAAUCCUGUGAACUGAAGAACUCUGUGAUCCUGCAUUAUUUUGUU